ACCACCAAACGUGAAUUCAAGGAUCUGUGCUUUUGUGCAAAAAACGUUGAAGUCACAUCUGACAUAAAGAACUACAUCAAAGACAUCGAGCAGUUCCUGAGCCAUUCAAGCAAAUUCUACAUUGUCCAAACAGCAGGAAAUGAUUCAACCACCAUGGUUUUACAUGUAUCAACAGAUGGUCGAUGCAGCCUAAAGAAAGGAUGGACAAAUUUUGCAGUGCAGAAUAACAUACAUCUUCAGUCCAUUUGCAUCUUCCACUUCUAUAAGGCAGCUCACAUCUAA
rnacentral:lncRNA from 1 species